rnacentral:SRP_RNA from 1 species
GCUGGGUGUGGUGGCGGGCGCCUGUAAUCCCAGCUACAUGGGGGCUGAGGCACGGGAAUUGCUUGAACCCAGGAUGCCGAGGUUGCAGUGAGCUGAGAUCGCACCACUACACUCCAGCCUGGGUGGCAGAGCAAGACUCUGUCUCUA